GUAGAGGAAGGAGAAGUCGUAACAAGGUUUUCGUAGGUGGACCUGGCGAAAGGAUCAUUAU
rnacentral:rRNA from 1 species